AGUAGCUCAGUUGGAUAGAGCAUCCGCCUCCUAAGCGGAAGGUCGUGGGUUCGACUCCCGUUUGGC
rnacentral:tRNA from 1 species